AAUGCAAUGACAAAGGAAUUUGUAAUACUUGAAAUGGAUCUCCUAUAGUUUUGGAAACUCCCCAUAUUAGAGAAACAUCAUUGAGUGCAGCGUUGAUGAAGAUUCUCUCUCACUUGUGUCUCUCAGGAAGAUGUUUCAUGGUGUUAGUGUCAUCAAUGCUGCACUCAAUCAUGUUUUUCUGGCAAUAUGGGAUUGAGAGAAGUGAAAAGCAUCCAAAUAAGCAAGACAGGAACUAAGGCCUUAUUGUCACCUUUCUUACAGCUCAAAAAUAGAGUGCAUGAUUAACAUUUUCCAUUAUUCUCAGAUUUCUUAUGAUCAGAAUAGAGGAACAAUUUCUGUUCUUUUGUUUCCCAGCACACAUAAUAUAGGAUGAACUCUGAAGAAAAGAGAUGAGAAAUCCAAAGUUGAUGGUAUCCCAUGAUUUAUCAAAAACAUUAUGCCAUCCAGCAGUGCAGACAAAAAUAAAUGGUUAACGGGUCAUCCAAUUUGUUGCCAAAAGUGCACUUUUUCAGUGAAUUGCAGUUGAGAGUCUCAAGAUCAUGAAAUGUAAAACCAAUUUUUUUUUUAAAUUUCUCUCUUGAAUUUUUGUAUGCUUGUUUAAUGUCAAUGAGGUUCACCAACAAGUUCAUCUA